rnacentral:rRNA from 1 species
GCAGCCACCUUUUAAAACGCGUCAAAGCGUAACCUUAACCCCCAAAAUACCACUAAUUUUCAUGAACCCCUAAUUUAUAAUGAAUGACUCCAUAUUUAUAUGGAAGACACCAUGCUAGGAUUAGUAACAAGAAUUUAUAAUUCUCCAAAAUGCAAAUAUAAACCAACAUGGAUGGACCAUUGGUAGUUACCGAACCUAAAUUCAAUGCAAUAACACCUACAAGAAAACUCUGCAGUACUCAAUCGUUAACCUAACACCAGCGCAUUACAGGAAAGAUUAAAAAAAAGAGAAGGAAUUCGGCAAAUGACGGCCCCGCCUGUUUACCAAAAACAUCGCCUCUUGACUUAUAAUAAGAGGUCUAGCCUGCCCAGUGAAUUUUAAACGGCCGCGGUAUCCUAACCGCGCGAAGGUAGCAUAAUCACUUGUUCUUUAAAUGGGGACUCGUAUCAACGGCAUCACGAGGGUUUUACUGUCUCCUCUUUUUGAUCAGUGAAAUUGAUCUUCCCGUGAAGAAGCGGGAAUAAAUUUAUAAGACGAGAAGACCCCAUGGAGCUUUAAACCAAAUAACAACUUAACCACUCACCCCAUAAUAAAUUUAAGCCCUGUUAUAAGGUUUUUGGUUGGGGUGACCGCGGAGUAAAGCAUAUCCUCCACGACGAAAAGAACAGAAUCUUUAUUUAAGAACCACACUUCUAGAAAUUAGUAUACUAACGUUUACUGACCCGACAAUCGAUCAACGGACCAAGUUACCCUGGGGAUAACAGCGCAAUCUACUUCAAGAGCUCAUAUCGACAAGUAGGCUUACGACCUCGAUGUUGGAUCAGGGUAUCCCGGUGGUGCAGCCGCUACCGAAGGUUCGUUUGUUCAACGAUUAAAACCCUACGUGAUCU